GGGGCUGUAGCUCAGUGGUAGAGUGCAUGCCUAGCAUGUGUGAGGCACUGUGUUCGAUCCUUAGCACCA
rnacentral:tRNA from 1 species